rnacentral:rRNA from 1 species
UAGGGAAUCUUCGGCAAUGGACGAAAGUCUGACCGAGCAACGCCGCGUGAGUGAAGAAGGUUUUCGGAUCGUAAAACUCUGUUGUUAGAGAAGAACAAGGACGUUAGUAACUGAACGUCCCCUGACGGUAUCUAACCAGAAAGCCACGGCUAACUACGUGCCAGCAGCCGCGGUAAUACGUAGGUGGCAAGCGUUGUCCGGAUUUAUUGUGCGUAAAGCGAGCGCAGGCGGUUUCUUAAGUCUGAUGUGAAAGCCCCCGGCUCAACCGGGGAGGGUCAUUGGAAACUGGGAGACUUAAGUGCAGAAGAGGAGAGUGGAAUUCCAUGUGUAGCGGUGAAAUGCGUAGAUAUAUGGAGGAACACCAGUGGCGAAGGCGGCUCUCUGGUCUGUAACUGACGCUGAGGCUCGAAAGCGUGGGGAGCAAACAGG